UCCGGUUUGUCACCGGCAGUCUCAUUAGAGUGCCCAACCAAAUGUAGCAACUAAUGACAAGGGUUGCGCUCGUUGCGGGACUUAACCCAACAUCUCACGACACGAGCUGACGACAGCCAUGCAGCACCUGUGUUACGGCUCUCUUUCGAGCACCAAGCCAUCUCUGGCGAGUUCCGUACAUGUCAAAGGUAGGUGGGGAUGACGUUGAACGGUUGGUU
rnacentral:misc_RNA from 1 species